rnacentral:piRNA from 1 species
UUUUUCAUGUACGUCACACAC